rnacentral:rRNA from 1 species
UCGCCUACAUGAAGCUGGAGUUACUAGUAAUCGCAGAUCAGAAUGCUGCGGUGAAUGCGUUCCCGGGUCUUGUACACACCGCCCGUCACACCACGGAAGUUGGGGGCGCCCGAAGCCACUUAGCUAACCCUUUUGGGAAGCGAGUGUCGAAGGUGAAAUCAAUAACUGGGGUGAAGUCGUAACAAGGUAGC